rnacentral:rRNA from 2 species
GGAUGACGGGGGCCCGCACAAGCGGCGGAGCAUGCGGAUUAAUUCGAUGCAACGCGAAGAACCUUACCUAGGUUUGACAUAUACGAGAAGCCUCUAGAGAUAGAGGUCUCUUUGGACACUUGUAUACAGGUGGUGCAUGGCUGUCGUCAGCUCGUGUCGUGAGAUGUUGGGUUAAGUCCCGCAACGAGCGCAACCCUCGUCUUAUGUGCCAGCACGUAA